rnacentral:rRNA from 1 species
GACGAACGCUGGCGGCGUGCUUAACACAUGCAAGUCGAACGGAAAGGCCCUGCUUUUGUGGGGUGCUCGAGUGGCGAACGGGUGAGUAACACGUGAGUAACCUGCCCUUGACUUUGGGAUAACUUCAGGAAACUGGGGCUAAUACCGGAUAGGAGCUCCUGCUGCAUGGUGGGGGUUGGAAAGUUUCGGCGGUUGGGGAUGGACUCGCGGCUUAUCAGCUUGUUGGUGGGGUAGUGGCUUACCAAGGCUUUGACGGGUAGCCGGCCUGAGAGGGUGACCGGCCACAUGGGGACUGAGAGACGGCCCAGACUCCUACGGGAGGCAGCAGUGGGGAAUAUUGCACAAUGGGCGGAAGCCUGAUGCAGCAGCGCCGCGUGCGGGAUGACGGCCUUCGGGUUGUAAACCGCUUUCGCCUGUGACGAAGCGUGAGUGACGGUAAUGGGUAAAGAAGCACCGGCUAACUACGUG